GAUGAACGCUAGCGGCAGGCCUAACACAUGCAAGUCGAGGGGCAGCACAGAAACAGCAAUGUUUUGGUGGCGACCGGCGGACGGGUGCGUAACGCGUAUGCAACCUACCUUUAACAGGGGGAUAACGGAGAGAAAUUUCCACUAAUACCCCAUAACAUCGAUCAAGGCAUCUUGAUUGGUUGAAAACUCCGGUGGUUAAAGAUGGGCAUGCGUUGUAUUAGGUAGUUGGUGAGGUAAUGGCUCACCAAGCCUACGAUACAUAGGGGACUGAGAGGUUAGCCCCCCACACUGGUGCUGAGACACGGGCCAGAACCCUACGGGGGGCAGCAGUGAGGAAUAUUGGGCAAUGGGGGCAACCCUGAACCAGCCAUGCCGCGUGCAGGAAGACGGCUCUAUGAGUUGUAAACUGCUUUUAAACAGGGAUAAAGCACAGUAUGUAUACUGUGUUGAAGGUACUGUAAGAAUAAGGAUCGGCUAACUCCGUGCCAGCCGCCGCAGUAA
rnacentral:rRNA from 1 species